rnacentral:rRNA from 1 species
AGAGUUUGAUCCUGGCUCAGAACGAACGCUGGCGGCGCGUCUUAAGCAUGCAAGUCGAGCGGCAAGGCAGGGCAACCUGCCCUAGAGCGGCGGACUGGUGAGUAACACGUGGGUGAUCUGCCCUUGGGUUGGGGAUAGCCACUAGAAAUAGUGGAUAAUACCGAAUACGUUCGCGGGACUAUGGUUCUGCGAGGAAAGGUCCGAUUGGACCGCCCAAGGAUGAGCCCGCGCCUGAUUAGCUUGUUGGCGGGGUAAUGGCCCACCAAGGCGAUGAUCAGUAGGCGGCCUGAGAGGGUGUACGCCCACAUUGGGACUGAGAUACGGCCCAAACUCCUACGGGAGGCAGCAGCUAAGAAUAUUCCGCAAUGGACGAAAGUCUGACGGAGCGACGCCGCGUGGAUGAAGAAGGCCGAAAGGUUGUAAAAUCCUUUUGCUGGUGAAGAAUAAGCGUGACAGGAAAUGGUCGCGUGAUGACAUGAUCCGGUGAAUAAGCCCCGGCUAACUACGUGCCAGCAGCCGCGGUAACACGUAGGGGGCAAGCGUUGUUCGGAAUUAUUGGGCGUAAAGGGCAUGUAGGCGGUUCUGUAAGUCUGGCGUGAAAUGGUUCGGCUUAACCGGAUCCUNNNNNNNNNNNNNNNNNNNNNNNNNNNNNNNNNNNNNNNNNNNGAAUUCCAGGUGUAGGGGUGAAAUCUGUAGAUAUCUGGAAGAACACCGGUGGCGAAGGCGAACUCCUGGCCAUGUACUGACGCUGAGGCACGAAGGCGUGGGGAGCAAACAGGUUUAGAUACCCUGGUAGUCCACGCAGUAAACGAUGUACACUAGGUGGUGGGCGNNNNNNNNNCUGCGCCCAAGCUAACGUGAUAAGUGUACCGCCUGGGGAGUAUGCUCGCAAGGGUGAAACUCAAAGGAAUUGACGGGGGCCCGCACAAGCGGUGGAGCAUGUGGUUUAAUUCGAUGGUACGCGAGGAACCUUACCUGGGUUUGACAUCCAGCGGAAUACGGUAGAGAUGUCACAGCGUAGCAAUACGUCGCUAUACAGGUGCUGCAUGGCUGUCAUCAGCUCGUGCCGUGAGGUGUUGGGUUAAGUCCCGCAACGAGCGCAACCCCUACUGCCAGUUACUAACAGGUUAAGCUGAGGACUCUGGCGGAACUGCCGGUGACAAACCGGAGGAAGGUGGGGAUGACGUCAAGUCAUCAUGGCCCUUAUGUCCAGGGCUACACACGUGCUACAAUGGUCGGUACAAAGCGAUGCGAAGCCGCGAGGCCCCAGCAAACCGCAAAAAGCCGGCCGUAGUUCGGAUUGAAGUCUGAAACCCGACUUCAUGAAGGUGGAAUCGCUAGUAAUCGCGCAUCAGCACGGCGCGGUGAAUACGUUCCCGGGCCUUGUACACACCGCCCGUCACACCAUCCGAGUUGGGGGUACCCGAAGCCGGUAGCUUAACCCGAAAGGGGGAGCGCUGUCGAAGGUACGUCUAGUGAGGAGGGUGAAGUCGUAACAAGGUAACC